AGGACUCCGCGCACGCGGCCACGUGCAGCGCGUCACUUCACUUAAUUACGAACACCUGACCUGCAGUGCAGCAGAAUUCAGAGACAUGUAAGUUAACUUACUCCAGAGACGCACUAACUUGCACAGCAUUGAAUAGAAAAGGCUUUGUCCAUGUCCAGUUGAGGGGCAUCAAGAACAUGCAGAUGGCCUAAACCUGUGUCAGCCUGGACUGACUGCAGUUCUGCUACUCCACACCAAGGCUUUUGUAUGGAUGUCUGACUACUACUGUGUUCUCUAAAGGUUUUCUGGAAGCUCCAUUUGAGGUCAUCAAGGACAUACUGAUGGCCUAAACCAGUGUCAGCCUAGACAGACAGACAUCUAUUGCAGUUCUGCUACACAAGACCAAACUCUCUGCUUUUGUAUGGAUGUCUGACUAGUACGGUGUUCUCUAAAGGUAUAACUGGAGCAAAACAACAGCAUCCGUUACAGUGAAAUUUGUGUUCAUAAAAGAUUGUGAUAUAUCAGGUAUAGUAACAGGUCCAGUACAUUUGUCAUAAAGGUUAAAUCACAGUAAGUACUGUAAAAAUAACUUGUUUGCCUUUGCCACAACAGGUCAUGGUGUGUGCAUACUGCUCGUAGUAAACACACACGCUGAUCUGAUGCGGGAGAGAUAUAUGCAAACACAUUUGUAUUUACUGUUUUGUUUUGCCUCACUAAAGUGUUGUUGGAGCUUGGUAUGUUCACAGUUGAAAUCACUGAAGUCACAUGGAACGUUUUGACAAUGUGUUUUGUGCCUUAUCUUGACAAUGACCAUCUUGGGACCAUUGCUGUCUGUAGAGGAUGAGAAAAUAUUUUAGUUUGUGUUCUGAAGAUUAACAAGUCUCUGGGAUGACACAAGUAAUUAAUAACAGAACCUAUAUGAACACUUAAUGUGACAUGUAAUAGUGAAAUAGUGGUGCCAUUAUUAUAAGACCCAUGUGAACAUGCAAUUUUUAUGAUACUAAUAAUAAUAAUGGAAUAACAAAUUGCUUUUACUGUUGUGUUUGUGAGAGAGAAUCAAACCAUAUAUUCUACACAUUUUCUUGAUGAUUUACUGAACUAUUUGUCUAUGUUCCACUGUUACAGGUGCUCAGUUUUGCUGCAGUAAUGCUAAACACAAUAGAUGUUCUUUAUACAAAAAAAAAAAAAAAAACUACUAAAUAUUUAGCAUGCAGACCUGCAAAGUGAAGGAGCAAUGUCAGGUUUAGAUUAUAGCAUGAGUUUUCACUAUUGUGAAAGUGAAGCCAUUCAUUCACAAUGAAUUGGAAUAGCAAACCUCAUUAUUGAUUUUGUAGGAAACUCACCUGGUGUUUGAGAAAUAAAUAUGUAUUUAAGUGCUAGACUGAUAUAGAUGUUUUAGUGUUUUACACUUGAUUCUUUGUCCCCAGUGCCAUCUUUUACCUCAAGUGUUUCUCUCAACCUAUAAAACCUCAAACAGAUGUAAUGUAU
ensembl:processed_transcript